rnacentral:rRNA from 1 species
ACCAGACUCCUACGGGAGGCAGCAGUGGGGAAUAUUGCACAAUGGGGGAAACCCUGAUGCAGCGACGCCGCGUGAGUGAAGAAGUAUUUCGGUAUGUAAAGCUCUAUCAGCAGGGAAGAAAUAGCGACCUUUGGGUCGCCAGACGGUACCUGAUUAAGAAGCCCCGGCUAACUACGUGCCAGCAGCCGCGGUAAUACGUAGGGGGCAAGCGUUAUCCGGAUUUACUGGGUGUAAAGGGAGCGUAGACGGCAUAGCAAGUCUGAAGUGAAAGCCCGGGGCGCAACCCCGGGACUGCUUUGGAAACUGUGUUGCUGGAGUGCUGGAGAGGCAAGCGGAAUUCCUAGUGUAGCGGUGAAAUGCGUAGAUAUUAGGAAGAACACCAGUGGCGAAGGCGGCUUGCUGGACAGUAACUGACGUUGAGGCUCGAAAGCGUGGGGAGCAAACAGGAUUAGAUACCCCCGUACCG